AUAAUUUUUUAGGAUUUUUUUUUAAAUAUUUUAUGAAAAAUCAUAUUGAAAAAGUUAAUUUAUUCAAGUUUAGAAUAUCUAAAUCAAUUUUUGGCCUGUUUGCGGUAGAGUGUUAAUGAUUAUAAUGCAAUCAAAUUUUAAAAUAUUAAUAAAAAUGAUUCUAGGCAGUAAUUGUAGUUCUAUUUCUUUGAAAUGAACAGCAAGUUUGUUUUAAGUUUAUACAAAUUUUGAGAAUGUCGUUUAACCCUUUGCUUCCUAGUGGUUUCAGCAUGAAACCACGUAUUAAUUACUUUGUUAGUUUUUUUUUAAUAAAAAAUGGACUUCUCCUUUUGUACUCUCAGCUCAAAACAUUCCUUAUACAAUGUUAUUACUAGUACCAUCAUUAUUUUUUCAUAUUAGUGUGUAAUUAGAAAAUAUCAAAACUUUUUUUCAAGAUAUUUGUAUUUUUUUCCGGGAGCAAAGGGUUAAAUACAUUCUUCUGGGAAGCAAGAUUGGUGGCGGCUGGCGGGAGCAACGUGGUGGCUGGAUAGAACGUGGUGUGGCAAAUGACGACGACAGCGGAGGCAGACAAUAAUGUGGCGGAUGUGGCGGCAGCGUGGUGGUGGCAACGUGAUGGCACUACAUAUAAAUAUAUUAAUACAUACGUAUAUAUUUAUAAGAUAAAAUGAUCAAUAAAAAUUAUAAAAAAGUAGAUACAUACCAGGAAUUAUUUUAGCGUGAUGAUGGUGGUGGCUGGCGGGAACAACGUGGUGGCUGGAAGGAACGUGGUGUGGCAAAUGACGACAACGACACCGGAGGCAGACAAUAUGUGGCGGCAGCGUGGUGGUGGCAACGUGGUGGAUGAAAACACUUACCUUAAAUUUUUGAUGCAUGAAACGACGUGAUGGCAGCAGGCGACGGGCGGGCGGCGGCAAAUGGGAAAUCGAACAAAUCUCCUAUAUAUAUG